rnacentral:rRNA from 1 species
AUUGAACGCUGGCGGUAUGCCUUACACAUGCAAGUCGAACGGUAGAGGGGCAACCCUCGAGAGUGGCGAACGGGUGAGUAAUACAUCGGAACGUGCCCAGUCGUGGGGGAUAACGUAGCGAAAGCUACGCUAAUACCGCAUACGACCUGAGGGUGAAAGCGGGGGAUCUUCGGACCUCGCGCGAUUGGAGCGGCCGAUGGCAGAUUAGGUAGUUGGUGGGGUAAAGGCCCACCAAGCCUGCGAUCUGUAGCUGGUCUGAGCGGACGAGCAGCCACACUGGGACUGAGACAAGGCCCAGGCUCCUACGGGAGUCAGCAGUGGGGAAUUUUGGACAAUGGGCGAAAGCCUGAGCCAGCCAUACCGCGUGCGGGAAGAAGGCCUUCGGGUUGUAAACCGCUUUUGUCAGGGAAGAAAUCUUCUGGGUUAAUACCUCGGGAGGAUGACGGUACCUGAAGAAUAAGCACCGGCUAACUACGUGCCAGCCGCCGCAGUAAGAC